rnacentral:tRNA from 2 species
AGAUACUUAGUGCAAUCGGAAGCACGCCAUACAACUUGAAGAUACCGUUCUUAUCGUAUGGAAAUAUUGGUUCGAAUCCGAUAGUAUCUCCA